rnacentral:lncRNA from 14 species
GAAGGACUGAAUCUACUCAUCGACUCUCUUUGCUUGUUCUGUGUCCAUCAGGCUUCGAAGCAGGUCACAGAGGCACAGUUUUUUUCCCCAAAGCUGCAUCUUUGUGAAGCUUUUUGAGGACAGAAUUGCUUCUCAAAGUACAGAAAAGGCAAAGAACAAUAUGAAACUGGCAGGCGUGGAAGCUUUGCAUGGAAGUUACUGUCAUCUAUGACAUUACCUGGCAGCAGUAAGGAUGUCCUCAGUUACAGCAGAUGGUCCAGAGCCUCGGCCUUCAAACCAGCUACACAGCCUCUACUCCAGUGUAAUGACAACGCAGUAGAGACAACAACCACCACAUCCAGCUGGAGAGCAC